CGGGAGGAGGCGGUUGGCGCCGGCUGGGCGUGUGCGCACCGAGGUGCAGCAAGUGCGUCCCGACCGCGACGGCGCCGCCACCCGAGGCUCGGCCAGCCCGGCAUCCGUGCGCACCCGGGCGCGCGGCGGGGCCCGCGGAGCCGUAGGGUGCUACCGCUCUCCGCGGCCCUCGGAGGGCCCGGGGCUUCCUCUGUGGAGGCAGCUCGGCUUAAUGUCAGUGGCCCAAGGACAGAAGACCCCUCCCUGCCCUCAUGAGACUCAGUCGGGGCUGUAGGGUAACCACAGACCCCCGCAAUAAAGAUCAGGUGCUUAUUGUCUCUCAACUGGAACGUCAGCUUCCCGAGGGCAGCAAUGUUGUUUGCUGCUGUGUCCUUGGGGCCUAGAACCUCAGCGGCACACACCAAGUGUUCCUUAAAUAUUGCUCAAGUGAAUGAAUGAAUGAAUGGAGAGAGUGAGAAACUCCACCAGGAGUCAGGAGCUAGAAGGAGCAUGGAGAGAUGGUGAACUGUGGAGGAGAAGGGAGGUCUGAGUGGACCUCUGAGAGGGGCCAGGUCUUGGCACGGCCUGGGGCACAGAGCCUUGCUCAUCUGCCUUCCCCAAACCUGCCAUCCCCAUCUGCCGCCGGGAUCCUCCUGCAGGUAGCUUUGCAUGCCCGGCCCUGGAUGUGGCACCCCUGUCCAGGCAGAUGGCCAGGCCUGAACAAAGUGUCCCUUCCCCUCUGAUAAGCUGCCUCCUUCAGGGGCACAUGGGGCAGCACAUGUCCUGCUGCUCAGGAAGUGCCCAAGGCCUGGCGGGUCUUUGGAGUGGGUACCGGCUGGCCGGCUGCGGCAGCCACCGUGCGUGGAGGCCAAGCGGAGAAGCCAGGGCAGCGGCCAGAGCAGCCCCCUGCCCACCCCCAACCCCAGCAUGCGCCCACCCCUCAUUUAUGACACAGACCCCUGCUGGUCGGGAGGACAGCUGUGAACAGGACCCUGCCCGGGGAUGGGGAGCCUGGGUUGACAGGUGGCCACGCUGGGGCGCUGGCCUGCCUUGGGCACUUGGUUCUGGGCUGCCACGGGACGAGGUUGGGCUGGAGGCCCAGGCAGCUUCAGGGACAGUGGGGACAGGCUAGGUACUGAAGGGGCGCCUCAUCUCUUGGCCUCAGGGUAGGGGCUGAGGACCCUGGGUUUAUCCAGGCUUCCCUGACCCCACCCUGUUCCCGCCCCCAUCCCCCUCCAUCCUCUGGUCUCUCUGCCUGUGUUUCUGGAUUGACUGUGCUGCCAGGAAGCUGUCACUGGUUUCUCAUGAUUCUCAAGAGCCCUGAACCCUGAGACCCCAGGACCAGAGUCCCAGCCCCUCCCACCCCCACAGCCUCCCUCUUUCUCCACACACACUCUUGACUCGGCCCCUCCCUCUGGAAGCCCCUUCCUCCCCACGGUCCUGCCUGGACUUUCCCAUUGUACCUGCAAAACCUGGGUCCUGGGGAGGGGAGUUUGGUGAUGGAGCACAGUAUCUUCUAGUGGGCAGAGUAACCCUCCCAUGUCCAUCCACACGUGCGAGUGCUUGUACACACACGUGCACAUGCUUAAACACCCCUUGGGCACUCGCGCCCCCACAUGCCUGCCCAGCUUGCUGACCUGCCCUGGGCCUUGGGGCCUAGGAGCCCUUGGCCUUCCCCGUGGUGGACAGGCAGGAUGGGGCAGAGGCAGGUGCUGAGGGCCCAGCUCUGCGCUUUUGGGGCCCUGGUCUUUGAAUCUGUAGGAUGGAUGCUGGCUUCAGGUCUCUUGGUGUCCCCCAGGGCCUGUCACCUGUGAAGUCCCAGUUAGCACAGGGAGAGAGAUCUGUUCUGAGAUGUUCUCUGUGAUAGUUUUAAAACACGGCCCUGACAUCCUUUGGCACCCUUCUCGGGGAGAGGAGGCCUCUAUGUCCUCCUCUCCUCGAACCUGGGAGGGCUGUGACGGCUUCCAGCAAUAAAGUAUGGUGGAAGUGAUGCUGUGUGGCCGCGGAAGCGAACUUAUAAAAGGCCGCACAGGUUCCACCUGCUUCUCUUCCAAUGCUUGCUCUGGGAUGGGCCAGCCCCCGCCCAGGAAGUCAGACUACCCUGAGAUUGCCCAGCUGGGGAGGCCACGUGGAGCUGGUCUCACCCACAGCCCCAGCGCCACCUGCCAGCCGUGGGAGGAGCCGCCUUGCACGUCCAGCCCAGCGGAGCCUUUCAGAUGACUCCAGCCCCAGCCAACAUCUGAUGGCAAUCACACGAGACCCCAAGUGAGAACCGCCCAGCCAGGCCCUUCCCGAAUUCCUGACCCACAAACCUUUGAGCCAAAUAAAAUGGCUGUUGUUUCACAUUGCUGAGUUUUGGAUAAUUUGUUAUGCAGCAACAGUAAUUGGAACAUUGGCCCCAAACCUUUCCUGAUCCUUGUUGGUCCCCUUCCCACCCUGUCUGCCACACUGAAC
rnacentral:lncRNA from 1 species